GUCCUGGUCUAGGAAGUGCCUGCAGCAUUGGUUCCUCCUCCCUGGCCCUACCCUCCCAUCCGCACAGCCCAGCACGUAUGUAUCCAAAAAGCCUUUAGGAGAGCUAAGAGAGGCACAGGGGACCAGCAAGGAGCCUUGGAGCUAUGGGGCAGUUUCCAUAUGAGGAGAGAAUAUGCAGUGGGACUCCUGGCAGGCCAUGAGAUGGCAAAGCAGGAGAGCCACGUCUGCGGGUUUGCCGGGAGCCAACCACCACAACCAGCUGCACAGCUGAGCCCAGGAGCACCAGGCUGAGUGCACACAACCCAGCAAUGAGGUACGUGCUCUAAAUCACCUUCCUUUGCAUGUUUCUUUUUUCUUUUUUUUUUUUUUUUGCCUCCAAGAUCCUUUCAGAGGUUACCAGUUAGGGAAAGUGAAUCCCAGUGACAUGUGGUGUUACUCUGGUUGUCACCUCUUCUAUCGACAGAGCUGUUUCCAUCCCUGGAUAUCUUUCCUACCUCUUCAGUUUGUGCCCAUACUGGGGGAGGAAGAUCUUCGCAACACUUUCACCGUACUUGAUCAAGUGAUGCUGUGACUGCUUAUUUAAUAUGGCAAAGCUGAUAAAGAAUUAUCAAAUGGCUUGCAGUUGAAGCUUUCAGCAUUAGUCUGGCACCAAAACUGUGCAAAACGAUAGGGUCAAACUCAGCAAACCACAGCUAAAUUCAGGGGGUGGAAACCACAUAAGCCAAGGGCAAAACUCACAUCCCGCUGUGUGGGACUGGGUUUAUUGCUACGUGUAGGAGUUUCCCAGGAAGUUAUGAGGCUGAUGGCAAAGACUGAAGCAGACCUUUCACAACAGUAAAAAUUGAUUUAAUGGCUUUAUAUUUUGUGCUCCCAAAAGGCCCUAGCGUGACUAUGUGUUUUGAUAGUGCAAUAGCUCGCAGCUUUGCCAUCUCUGCUUCGGUAAUUUCUUUGUGCACUCACCUUAUUCCUGGGAAACAAGAAUCCUCAGGAAGGGAAGCAGCCUCCUCCCCAGGGCUGCCUGCCUGGUGCUGAGCAGCCGAAAGCCCUGUCAGUCUCGCCGAGGAGCUACAGAGAGCAGAAGUACCUCCCCGGCAGCCUGACCUUGGCAAGGAGACCGGGGACUCGACAUUCGCGACAGGCAGCAGCUCCCUUUAAUAAAUAUUUCACGGCAGAGAGCCGCAGACUUGGGGAGAAAAUGGAGGGCAGGGUUCAGCCAGUGACGCAAGGUGAUGUGACCGGACCUUGUCUAGCGGGGCUGGAGGCCACCUAAUUGGCAUUCCUGCGCCAUGCUUGUGGAGAGCAUUCUCAAGUCCUCUGGGAACACAAAAAUAAUUAAAAGGCCCCUCAGCACACAGUGUUGCUAAUGGGCUAUUGCCUGCCAUGUGAUGUUUUUGUGCUCAAUUAGAGCCGAGCAACAUAGACUGCUAAAAAUUCACGUCUCCCUCUGAGAGACACCUGGGUGGACCAGAUCUCCUCUUCGGAUGCACAAUGGCCCUCCUCGCACAUCAUUGCCCUGCGGCGUUCACGAUAAGGAGCUGAAAGAAGAAGCGACAGCGAAGCUUCGUGCGGCAAAGUACACACUGCUUUGUUUGCUGCUCGGCAGCGUGAGCUCCAGCACGGGCAGCCUGAGCGUUCGGCUCAGAGCAGCCAUCCCGGCAUGCCCUCGGCACCGCCGCGGUGACCUUGGGCUGCAGAAUGACUGUGCAUAUGGCGUGAAGCUGAGGCCCUGGACCUCUUCCAGGCGAGCGCUCGCUCGCGCACAGCAUGUCUGUGCGGCUGCUGGCUGCUCCCGGCGCAGUGCACGCUCAGCCGGCGCCAGCUGCGGCUGCCUGGCACUGAGCCUCCACAGACCCCCUCCCUCACCCCCAGCCUUGUGCUCCGCACAGACCCUUUAUGAGGUGAUGCCAAGAGACCUAUCAACACCUUCCAUGCUUUAUCAAGAGAGAUCCGGCCACCUAAAGACAGUUUCUCUCUGCAAUAUCAGCUGUGCUUUGUGCCUAGGCCCUCUCCUGUUUAACAGCUCUCCCGUGCCAGCUCGGUGCCCGGUGCCUGCUCUCCCACAGCCCUGAUGCAUUCUGCAAGCCAUCCGUGGUGCGUCAUUUGGGCCCAAACAAUUCAUCUCUGAGGUACACUUGGUUGAGUAUUCAUGGGCUAAACUUUAGGUAAUUAGCAUUGUUAAUGUUCUCUGUGCGAUAUUACAGCUGUGGGCCUCAUUAAAACAUCCUCUUGGGAGAAGCCAGGCAAAGAGUCAGGUGUCAGCCGUGCUCUGCGUGGAAAAGCCCGCCUGCUAUUCGGGAGCGUUGUUUGUUCAAACACAGGACAGGAGGGCCCCGGGUCACCUUCCUGCAGCACCGCCAUGAACAAAGCCAAUUGUCCCACCCUGCCUCCAUUCUCUAUGCAAGGAGUGGGUGAGGUGAGCACAUGGCAGCCGUUACUACUCCGGGCAGUGCCCCCACGAGGGGCCUGGAGGAGUCUGCAUAACUCAGGCAGUGAGAGCUUCAAGGAUGGGCUCUGCAUUCGCUCUUUUUGUGACCUUUCUGAGUCCUUUUCCCCAGGCCGGCAGCAGCUGGUCGGGCAAUUAUUUAUGAAUGAGAGCGGAGCUUUUCCAGCUGAAGGUGGUUGCUGUGGGCAGAUGCCAGAGCAACACAUGGGCACAUCCCAGCUGUUUGCAGGCUCCGAGCUCUGUCAGAGAUGUAUGUUAACAGAUACAGACACACGUGUGAUUGUCAUCUUGCCAUCCUCUGAAACCAAUGGCUUCAGCUUUUGGCCCAGCUUCCUAAGGGAAGAAGAGCAAGUGCAGCCAUGAAAUCAUCUGCUUCCUACUAAUGUUUUCUAAACUCCUUGGUCCUUUUGGCCAAGUACAGUGAAACCAUACGGUUGUUAAAUUCUUAUAAUUUUUAUGAAAACACAUGACGAGCAGAGCGGGGAGAUAGAAUAAGAAAUGUCUCAUUAGUCCCUUCUGAAUGAAAGGACACAGCAUGACAUUACACCAUACUAAGCACUAGGGAAUGAGAAAGAUUACGAUUCCCCCAUCUCAAUGGAAAUUUGCAAUCAGAGCCUGCGACUUAAAGGUACUGGAGAAUCCCAGUAAGCAAUAGAAAGCCACAGAAAAAAAUGCUCCAUUUCAUCUGCUGUUCGUGGCACAUCAUCUCUCAUGCUAUGGUUGAAGGAUAAAAAUGUCUUCUGGAAAUUUCACGGAGGACAGCAUGAGGCCAAGAGCACAGGAGGGUAAGUGUAAUUACCUUGGUCAGCUCCUCUGGUAAGCGCUCAGCUGAUUCAGAUUGGAGUACCUCCAUUAAAUCUGCAGUUUUACACCUGCCAAGAAUCUGAGCCAUCAAAUUUGUGCUCAGAAAAAUGUUUAUCUCUUCUUUCACUUUUUUUUUUCUUCUUCAGUCCCCAGAGAGGGCAGGAAGCUGACCGGAGAAUUAUUUUCCUACUGAAGUGCUGCUAAUAAAAGUGUAAGGCAUUGGUAGCAUUACCUGUAGCACCAGGCCAUCCCUUGUGCUUUUUGGAACUUUUUACUGCAGCUAAAACCAAGGAUCAUUUCUGUCAUCCUGGACUUUCUCAGAGAUGGGAGGAGUCUGGGCCAGAGGGUGCUCGGGUGGGUCCAGUUUUCUCUUGGUCCUCUCCAAAUAUCCACAGCUUGUCCAUUCCAGAGGUGGUCUGUGCCAUGCCAGGACCUCUGUAUAUGUGCAGCAGAAACCAAGGACAGAAGUAAGAGUGGGAAUCACGUAAGGAAAACAAUUUUGUUUCAGGAGAAAUCAGAGUAGGGUUCUAUAUGAUGAUAGAGGCUAGAACAGUGCAAUAUUAACAACAUCUUCACUAAUAACACUAACUUUGGAGAAUUGCUGGGCACAGGGCUUUUAUCCAAUGUAACUAGCUCUCCUGUGUUUCCUUUGCUGUGAACUUAUGCAGAAGAGUAGCAGAAUAAUAACUCUCCAGCAGAUGUGCAUUUCCACGUACAGGAGAUCAGUGGUGGCACCAGCGAGGCGCGCAGAUUCUGCCGGGUGCCUCCUGCAAUGCUGAGCAGAGCCCACAUCCAAAUGAUCCUGAAGGGAAGCGACCCUUCUGCAGGGGCAGCGCAGUGACCUGAUCAAGGGAGGCUUUGUAGCUCACUGCUUGCUGGUUGUGCCCCCGUCCUCCAGUUACCUGCCCAACGGACUUGUGUGCUCAUCCCUAUCCCGAUGCUGCAGUGCACGUGAAUUCAGCCACAUUAUUUCUGAAUCGGAGUCCCCAGGCACCUUGUUUAAUUUAUGCUGCAACUUUCUUAUCGUCCCUGGAAAUGCAAUCGGAAAGGAAAAAUCCAUGCAGCAGAUCUUUCGGCGAGGGAAGCUGCCGAUGGUGGUUACACAGCGAGCCAAUCGGAGUGAGCAGCAGUGUGUGUCCCUGAACAAACAAGUUAUCAGUAAAAAACGGCAGCUUUGAUCAAUUGGUGUUUUCAAUUGUCUCCUUGUGAAGCUGUAGCCCAAUACUUCAGGUUGGGCCUUUCAAAUCUGUCUGGUGAUUCUCGAAAAAGGGCUGCACAGAGCAACGUCUCCUCCCCUCCACCUCCUGGUUUCAGGCAUUUCAGAUUAGCCCAGCAUCCCUGAGCUUAUGCCUGGUGAUCUGAUUGUUUGUUCACCUCCUUCUGAGCCCAGGCGUUUGCCUUUGGCCUCUGUUGCUUUCCUGUGCUUUGUCCCAUUUUCACUCAUACGCAGAGCAUGAGGAAUCUGCAUGUCCUCAGCAUCUCAGAGGGGCUGGUGAGAGUGCAACUGGGGAAUACACCCUGGGGAAAGCAGCUGGAGCAGGAGCUGAGCCCUUCGAGGCAGUGCUGUUUGCCAGGCUCUUUGCCUGGCUCUUUGCAGAGCUGCCAUCCCCACUGACAGCUUCUGGAGCCUCUCAGGGAAUGUCCCCCAGGGUCUGCCUUUGGGCCUCUGGCUCUGCAGCCCCAGUAGGAGGUGGAUGGCAUUAGCACAGCACCACUUUUAUGGCCCAGCAGCAUUCGGUGGCCUGUAGAGCUGUGGGUACGAGGAUAAAUUAGCAUGCAUGUCUCCAUGUCUCUUAGGCCCACAGCAUCCAGGUCUCAUAACUCUUCCUUUCUCUGUGCUGUCCUGAUGCCUCUAUUGUUUCUCAUCAGCUCUCAUUAUGUUGAUUUAACAUCUGCAUUACCAGGGUAGAAAUACCUCUUGUUCUUCCCCUGCUUCUUCAAGACAGAGUUAUGCAGCUGCAGUGAGUCCUUCGGAGUGCAUUAGUGGCAGUCCUGACCCACAGCCAUCUCUUACUAAUCUAUUCAGGAUGACAGACCAAACUCUCCAGCCCUACAGACCAUAAUGAAAAGGUGUGGGAGAGAACAGGCUUGUAUUGUCCUGUGACCUGGGGAAAGCACAGUUGUCAUGCUCCCUGCAGAGGCACUGAUGCAGCUGCAUUUCAGGUAUGUUGAUGGCAAUCAGGACAGCUGGUUUUGGUACUGCCAGAAGGGUGGUGGUUGCCUGUUUGGACCCCUGCAGAUGAGUAUGACUUCCACAAGGGCAGAAAAGCCCCAGUAAGUACAUGAGUCAGCUGCUCCAUGCUGCCUUCUUGUGUGGAGCCAGGCGGAGAAUACUGCCCAGGAGUAAGACUAGGACAAAGAAGGCACAGAAUGACUACAAGGCAUGGUGCAAAAACAGCAGGUUUAGUUUCCUCCAAAAUGGCACAAAAGUGACUAUCCCACAGCCAUACACUGUGGUAGAAGAUUCCUUCAAAGCAAAGCUUUGGCUGUUUUGAAAUGAGGUCUUAUCUUGUUAGGAAACACUGUUCCCAGAGUUGCUAAGAAAUACUGCUGGACUCCACAGCUCAGCACCUGGUUUAGAUUCAUUCAAGAAGCAACAAGGAGCUCACCUGAAAUGGAGCCCGUGGCUUCCUUGGGAGGCAGCUCCAGACUGAGAAACCAGCUUUGCCCCCAGCACCUCGGCCCAGGGCCUUCUGCAGCCUGACUCCAACCGGGCUGCCUUGCUUGUAGGGCAGCCCCAGGCUCCCUGCAAACCCAGGACCUCUGUGAAACAUUCAUCACUCCUGGAGUGCCUGCAGCAGAGCCUGAGCAAAGCUAUGUGCCUUGUGAGAUCUGAAGGUUUAUCGUGGUUUGAAGAGUUAAUCAUGUGACACUUCCCUUGUUUUCUUUGCACCUCCUGAUCUUGGUUUGUGCCUCCUGUGUGCAGUGAUGCUGCUUUGUGUUGGGUCUUGGAAGCUGCUGGAAACCCAGUGUAAGAGCGGGAAGCUGGCUGUUCCUGGGCUUUCUGCAGACAGGUACCACUGGGAAUACUGCAAGCACAGAAGGUCAUGUAGCUGCGGACUCUGCUCUCAGACAAGAGCCUUCAUCCCUCCCUGCUGGGCUUCUGCCUGCCUGGGGAGGCAGAAUACUGGGGACUUGGCAUGGCCACAGAGCCAGGGGAGACUAAGGGCAAGCAGACCACGAUGGGAGACUGCACGGGAGUGUGUCAGAGACAGGAGGAAAGGGGAAAUGAAGAGGAAAUCCCGUAUUUAGCUCUCAGCUGCAGUUGAGUUGCUAGGAAAAAAAAUCUUUACUCGCAGCAGUGGAAAGGUUAGUUCCCUUGAACCUCUCUCCCUCUCCAUCCCAAAGCCUGUUUCAGAAAUAAUCAAAGUAUUUAAUUAAUAUUGUACUGGUUCAAAUAAGUACAGUCAUCUUCCAGGAGGAUGUACACAUCAGGCUAUAAUUAGGAGCCUCCUUGGUACCAAGCCACGUGAGGUGACAGUUCACUGUUCCCAUUACAUACUACAUUUUUCUAUAUCGUUGCUCAGUCAUGAGUGAAUAUGAACUGAAUUAACCAGCCUCAGCAGAGAGGAAGGAUUGGGUGAACCACGGUGGGGACUGGAGGAGCAGUGGGUGAUUUUUCUAUUUGGGAAUUUGCUGAGACCCAUCAACACCUCAGCUAAAUGAAUACUUCUUCAACAGAUAAUGAGCCAUGCUUUCCCUGGCUGAACAUCUUUCUCCUGCUGAGGUGGAGGGUGGUGCUUCUUCCAACCCACUGGAAGAUCUCCCUUUCUCAAACAGAGCCUGAUGGGUGAAGAAGAAAUGGCACUUAGAAAAUCCCAACUGUUCUUGAAUGCCUUUUCCUCCUAGAUCCUAAGUUAGCUGCUCAGACAUGAUGGGCCACGUGAGGAAGCACAAGGACCGUGUCUCAGAGCAGAAGCGACUUUCUGCUGGUGGAGGACAGUUAUUUGGGAGGCCGAGUCUCUGAGCAUCGGCACCCUCCAACCACACUCACCAUUUUCCAGCAUCGGAUCAUGGCUGGGCAGUGGAAAGGCUGCAACUGAGAAACAAAGGCAGAAACAAGCCCUUACAUGUCUUAUAUACCAAAAAUUCCCUUCGCUUGACCCAGUAAAAUGAGGCUUAAUAUGUAUAUUUCUGGCAUUGUAGUCAAGACCAGCUUCACAGUUUUUUUUUCCCCUCAGGAAGACCACCACCACCAUUACAGUGAAACCAGUUCAGGGGUUUAUGUAGUUUUUCAGUGACCCUAUUGUAUUUUCUGGGAGUAAUAUUUCUUUUUUUUUUUUCCCCCCUUUCCUCCCCCCCUCAUUCCAAGAAACUAUUGAUACAGUUAAUCUAUACACAUGCAAAGAUGUAAUGUCUUUUAUAAAAAUGCUUGCUUAUAAGAAGAAAAGCAGUCCAGGUCUUUGCCAAUAGAAUAAAUAAAAGAUAACAUUUUCAGUGAGCAGAUCAGAUAAUUGGAUAUACUUUCUAGUAUCUUGUGAAAUCUCCCUUAGAAUGAUGGAGAUACGUUUGAAAAAUAUUGAAAUUCCCACCCUCACAUGGAAAAAAUCAUUUGCCGCGUGGUUCUUGGGAGCCUCUAAAAGAUUCCUUGUAGAAGUAUGCGAUCUUUGCCACGUCCCUGCAGGCGCCCCAUUGGCAUUUGAUAGAUUUGUGGUGCUGCAGCAGAAGGUGCAGGAAAUCUGCUGAGGUUUGGUGCUGGAAAAACACAGUGUAGAAACAGAGACUUCAUUAUUAUUAUUUUACUCAAUAAAAAGCCACUCGUAAAUGUUCCAAUUAAAAGCAUGCAUGAAAGUAAGGAAAAAUAGCCAGCAGAUUCUUACCUUUCCUCUUACAGAAAAGUUAGCGUCCUUAUUUUGUCACUCAUGAGCAUACGGCAUAUUAGCAGAGCAGUUAGGUGGGCAGAGGCCCAUUGGGGUGGGCUCCUGGGCUGAAGAGAGUCCUCCAGUUUCCCCAGGGUGAUCUUGACCUUCUUGCAGGAAACUCAUCCCUAAAUAACGUACCGGGCUCGUACAGAAACAAUAGCUCUUGGUUUGGGAUCAUGCUGGCUCCUCAUUUAAGUGGGUCUCAGCCUGCAUCCCACUGAGCUGGGUGACACGAGGGGCAUGGCUGCCCUUCAUGCCUCAGGGCACACUGGGCUCUGUGCAUACUCCUGUGUCUCCCUCCAAACAGGCACCAUCUGGCCCACCCUCCCAGCGUCGCUUUUCCCUGCACAGCGUCUUCCAGGUUUGCCAGCUUGUGUCUGUGAUUUGGAGAGGGGCUGCGAAAGGUGGUGAGAUUUGGCACGAUUUUUUCCUGCAUAAGCAGUGCCGCUGACAGGACUUUUCUUUAGGAUUUAAUUGAGCUCUGAACUUCUUAAAAAAAAUAUCUGCAUCGCUUAUUGAAAGGAGCUCUCUAAAUCUGAGUCCCUCAGACUCCAAGCAGGAAAGUGAGAGGGGUCUGCCUGUCUUCUAUUUGGGUGGGUGAACUUAUCACUAUAGGUUCACUGGCUUUGCAGCGAUUGUUUUCCCAACCAGUGAGGCUGUAUGGAGGGCUGUAUCCCCCAUCUCCUCCCAUUUACAGCCCCACCACAGCACAGCUGUGCAGCCUGGUGGCCUUCUGGUGGGCUCUCUGCAAAAGUCCUCCCAGUUCACAGCCGGCAUGUGCCUUUUAGAGACCAAGACAAAGGACACAUCCAUUCCUAAUAAUGCAAAGGAGAAAGGGGUAUGCUGUGCCCUUCACAUCUGGCUGCAGGUAAGCGGAAUGGAGCUGUAGGGCUGAAUAACUGAAUGCUUUCCCACGUCCUUCUGGAAACCAGGCAGGAGGUCAGCCAACAGAAGACCUGCCAAGGCAGGGCCAUGGGUCUCAGCCUGGCAUUUGAAACUUAACCUCAUCGCAACACCAAGAGCUCAAGUGCUGGUUCAGCAUUACUCUAAUUAAAACUGUAUCUUUUUAAUUAACGGUGUAACAAAUGGGGCCAGACAUUUAUUGCAUAUCAGAAGUUGGUUUGCUCUGGAAAAACAUGAGCAGUACUUGCAGGGAGGUUCAAACUGACACA
ensembl:lncRNA